CCAAUAGCGUAUAUUAAAGUUGUUGCAGUUAAAAAGCUCGUAGUUGAAUUUCGGGGUUAGUAGAUUGGUCGUGCCACUGGUAUGUACUGGUCUUACUGAUUCCUCCUUCCUGAUGAACCGUAAUGCCAUUAAUUUGGUGUUGCGGGGAGACUGUACUGUUACUUUGAAAAAAUUAGAGUGUUUAAAGCAGGCUAACGCUUGAAUACAUUAGCAUGGAAUAAUGAAAUAGGACGUUCGAUCCUAUUUUGUUGGUUUCUAGGAUUGACGUAAUGAUUAAUAGGGAUAGUUGGGGGCAUUAGUAUUCAAUUGUCAGAGGUGAAAUUCUUGGAUUUAUUGAAGACUAACUACUGCGAAAGCAUUUGCCAAGGAUGUCUUCAUUAAUCAAGAACGAAAGUUAGGGGAUCGAAGACGAUCAGAUACCGUCGUAGUCUUAACCAUAAACUAUGCCGACUAGGGAUCGGAUGAUGUUAAUUUUUUAAUGACUCAUUCGGCGCCUUACG
rnacentral:rRNA from 1 species